GGGCAUCCCUCUGUGGAACCCCUGCUCCUUUUCCCAGUGGACGCUUACCGAGGUCACAGGCAGCACAGGGGGUGAGGCACUUGGGAGGGCACUUGGGGAUGCACUUGGGAGGGGGCUGGCACUGCUGCUGGUUCUGCUGGCAGGACAUCUUGGUGCGGGACCCUGUGCUGCCUGUGACCCCGCUCCUGAAUCCGCCACCAAGAUGUCCUGCCAGCAGAGCCAGCAGCAGUGCCAGCCCCCUCCCAAAGUUGCAGCAGCCCCCAGAGCUGGGACCACAGCAGCCCCCAGAGAUGGGACCACAGCAAGAAGAGACUGCAGGGGAACAUGGAGCUGGGCACUGGGGCAGGCAUUUAGGGGGACACUUAGGUGGACAUUUUGGGGUACACUUGGGAGGACACUUGGGAGGGGGCUGGCACUGCUGCUGGUUUUGCUGGCAAGACAUGCUGGCAGGAGUUUAGUCAACCUGAAAGAUAAUAAUGAAACUCUUUAAAUAUUUCAAACCAAGGAUCAUAUUAUACCUCUUCUAAAAUCAAUGCAUGUGUAGAAGAAGAAUGAUAUUUAGAUAAUACAAUCACAUCAGUAACCUGAAAGAAACAACUUGAAUCUUUCCUCUAGAUAAAAGUACGUAGAUAAAAAAUCAACAGAAUGAGCUUCUUACUCUUCCUUUCAGGGGAAACUGCGAUUGCUCUAUCCUCACAAGCCCGAAUAGAGUAUUCACAGCUCCCUGAAGUACCUAUUCCUUUAAUACAAGCCCUAAGGACAAGCUGGGUGUUGCAGGACAUACCAAGGGGUCCUCUGGAAAAUAUUUUGCAAUGAAACCUCCAGAUAAAAGAGCCUGGCUUGAAGUAUUUGCCAGUUUCCAUGGUGUAAAUAUGCCCAACACAGCAGUUUUGAAGUUACCAACAUGAAGUCACUGAACACAGAAUUGGAAAAGAUGUGCACAGUUAGCUUUCCCCACCUAUAUGAGCUCCGGUAGGCCUCAGAGCCUCAACAGAUUCGAGGCAGGCUGAGUCCCAUUCCUGCUCAGUAUGGCAGAACACAAGCACACAACUCUUUCUCCAGCCUACCUCCAUCCUCCCCAUCCCUCUGCCUUGCUCAUACCCCUCUGGUAUCCC
rnacentral:lncRNA from 1 species